UCCCUAGUAGCUCAGUGGUACGAGCAGUCGGCUGUUAACCGAACGGUCGUAGGUUCAAUCCCUACCUGGGGAG
rfam:Klebsormidium nitens chloroplast DNA, contig: KFL_3730.